rnacentral:rRNA from 1 species
UGUGACCAAGCGAACCAAGGGCACAUGGUGGAUGUCUUGGCGUCGAGAGGCGAUGAAGGACGUGGGAACCUGCGAAAUGCCCAGGGGAGUUGGUAACCGAGCUGUGAUCCUGGGAUAUCCGAAUGGGGCAACCCGGUCCGCCAUUGGCGGAUCACUCUUGUCUGAAUGCAUAGGACAAGAGGGCGAACCUGGUGAACUGAAACAUCUCAGUAACCAGAGGAAAAGAAAGCAAAAGCGAUUCCGUAAGUAGCGGCGAGCGAAAGCGGACCAGCCCAAACCAGGCUUAGGCCUGGGGCACCAUAAUCGAAGUGAAAGCGUUACGAACGUUCUGGAAAGUGCGACCAAAGAGGGUGACAGUCCUGUAGUGACGUGGAAACGGAGAGGGUGCAUAGAGUAGCGUCGAGCUCGUGAAACUUGGCGUGAAUAAUGCGGGGUCCACCCCGUAAGGCUAAAUACUCCUCGACGACCGAUAGUGAAUCAGUAAGGCGACUGAAUGAUGAAAACCACCCCUAUAAGGGGAGUGAAAUAGGAGCUGAAACCAUGUGCUUACAAGCGGUCGGAGUCCGCCAUUGGCGGAUGACGGCGUGCCUUUUGCAUAAUGAGCCGGCGAGUUAUCUUUUACGGCAAGGUUAAGCCUGAUCCAGGCGGAGCCGAAGGGAAACCGAGUCUUAACCGGGCGUUGAGUCGUAAGGGAUAGACGCGAAACCAGGUGAUCUACCCAUGGGCAGGUUGAAGGGGGGGUAAGACCUCCUGGAGGACCGAACCCACCAACGUUGAAAAGUUGGGGGAUGACCUGUGGGGAGGAGUUAAAGUCUAAUCAUACCUGGAGAUAUCUCGUUCUCUCCGAAAUAGCUUUUGGGCUAGCCUCGCGUUACAGCGGACGGGGGUAGAGCACUGAAUGGGGCUGGGGCUCGCAAGGGUACCCACUUCAAUCAAACUCCGAAUACCGUUCGCUUUUGUCGCGGGAGUCAGUCUGCGGGGGAUAAUCUCCGUAGUCGAAAGGGAAACAGCCCUGAUCAUCGGCUAAGGUCCCAGAUCUCAUCUUAGUUCAUAAGGUAGUUGGAUCGCCAUGACAGCCAGGAUGUUGGCUUAGAAGCAGCCACCAUUUAAAGAGUGCGUAAUAGCUCACUGGUCGAGGGGUUCAGCGCCGAUAAUUAUCGGGAAUAAGGUGAGAACCGAAGCCAUGGGUUUCCAACAUUAGUUGGAAGCGGUAGGAGAGCGUUCCUGUCGGCGUCGAAGCGAUCCCGGAAGGGUUCGUGGAGCGGCAGGAAGUGAAUAUGCCGGCUUGAGUAACGAUAAAGCGGGUGAAAAUCCCGCUCCCCGAAAGCCUAAGGUUUCCUGGGGAAGGUAAAUCCGCCCAGGGUUAGUCGGAUCCUAAGGCGAGGCCGAAAGGCGUAGUCGAUGGACAGCAGGUUAAUAUUCCUGCACACCGAUGUGCGGUUGAAGCGGCGUGACGGAUCCCUCAGCUCGGCAGGACGGCUAGAAAUGUCCGGGCUCUUUUGAGCCCCGCCGGGGGCGGGGGUUCCAAGAAAAACCGUCCGUGGACAAUCAUCGGUUCCGUACCAAAACUGACACAGGUAGGCGUGGCGAAUAGCCUCAGGGGCUCGAGAGAACGGUUGUGAAGGAACUAGGCAAAUUGACCCCGUACGUUCGCAAGAAGGGGGCCCUCCUUGCCUUCGGGUGAGAGGGCGCAGAGAAAAGGCUCUGGCGACUGUUUAUCAAAAACACAGCACUGUGCUAACUCGCAAGAGGAUGUAUACAGUGUGACACCUGCCCGGUGCCGGAAUGUCAAGGGAGUAGGUUAGCCUUCGGGCGAAGCUUGCAACUUAAGCACCGGUAAACGGCGGCCGUAACUAUGACGGUCCUAAGGUAGCGAAGUUCCUUGUCGGGUAAGUUCCGACGUGCAUGAAUGGUGUAACGACUGGAGCACUGUCUCCACAACCGACUCGGUGAAAUAGUAGUGGCGGUGAAGAUGCCGCCUACCCGCGGCAAGACGGAAAGACCCCGUGGACCUUGACUGUAGGCUCAUAUUGAUCACGGAUAUGUUCUGCGUAGGAUAGGUGGGAGGCUUUGAAGCCCGGAUUCUGGUCCGGGUGGAGCCAAUCUUGAAAUACCACCCUGAAUCUAUUUGUGACCUAACCUCGAUUCCCGUGAAGCCGGGCGAGGGACCGUGUGUGCUGGGCAGUUUGACUGGGGCGGUCUCCUCCUAAAGAGUAACGGAGGAGCACAAAGGUUGGCUCAGCGCGGUUGGAAACCGCGUAUCGAGUGUAAGGGCACAAGCCAGCUUUACUGCGAGACUGACGGGUCGAGCAGUUGCGAAAGCAGGUCCUAGUGAUCCAGCGGUUCCGAGUGGAAGGGCCGUUGCUCAUCGGAUAAAAGGUACCCCGGGGAUAACAGGCUGAUCGCUCCCGAGCGUCCACAGCGGCGGAGCGGUUUGGCACCUCGAUGUCGGCUCAUCACAUCCUGGGGCUGAAGGCGGUCCCAAGGGUUCGGCUGUUCGCCGAUUAAAGUGGUACGCGAGCUGGGUUCAGACCGGCGUGAGCCAGGUCGGUCCCUAUCUGCCGUGGGCGUUGCAGUAUUGAAGGGAUUCUUCUUUAGUACGAGAGGACUUGGAAGGAGCCACCCCUGGUGCGUCUGUUGGCAUGCUCAUGCCAUCGCAGAGUAGCUAAGUGGCGCAGGGAUAACCGCUGAAAGCAUCUAAGCGGGAAGCCUCCCCAAAGAUGAGUACUGCUGGCCCGACUCGAUCGGGCGAAAGACCCCCGGAAGACUACCGGGUUGAUAGGCCGCAAGUGCAAGGGUCGAAAUACCCUCAGCUGAGCGGUACUAACGGUCGAAUGCUUGGUCAC